rnacentral:rRNA from 1 species
AAGGUGGGGACGACGUCAAGUCAUCAUGGCCCUUACGGGAUGGGCUACACACGUGCUACAAUGGUCAGUACAGAGGGUCGCGAAGCGGUGACGUGGAGCUAAUCUCAGAAAGCUGGUCGUAGUCCGGAUUGAAGUCUGCAACUCGACUUCAUGAAGUUGGAAUCGCUAGUAAUCGCAGAUCAGAAUGCUGCGGUGAAUACGUUCCCGGGCCUUGUACACACCGCCCGUCACACCAUGGGAGUGGGUUGCAAAAGAAGUGGGUAGACUAACCUUCGGGAGGUCGCUCACCACUUUGUGAUUCAUGACUGGGGUG